rnacentral:rRNA from 1 species
GAUGAACGCUGGCGGCGUGCCUAAUACAUGCAAGUCGAGCGAACGGACGAGAAGCUUGCUUCUCUGAUGUUAGCGGCGGACGGGGGAGUAACACGUGGAUAACCUACCUAGAAGACUGGGAUAACUUCGGGAAACCGGAGCUAAUACCGGAUGAUAUUUUGAACCGCAUGGUUCAAAAGUGAAAGACGGUCUUGCUGUCACUGAUAGAUGGAUCCGCGCUGCAUUAGCUAGUUGGUAAGGUAACGGCUUACCAAGGCAACGAUGCAUAUCCGACCUGAGAGGGUGACCGGCCACACUGGAACUGAGACACGGUCCAGACUCCUACGGGAGGCAGCAGUAGGGAAUCUUCCGCAAUGGGCGAAAGCCUGACGGAGCAACGCCGCGUGAAUGAUGAAGGUCUUCGGAUCGUAAAACUCUGUUAUUAGGGAAGAACAUAUGUGUAAGUAACUGUGCACAUCUUGACGGUACCUAAUCAGAAAGCCACGGCUAACUACGUG